UCAGAAUCUGAAUGAACUUUAAUGUAUUUAUUAAAAGUACAUUUAGUCAAAGCCAUACCAAGAAAUCACUGUUUCACUUGAUGUGAAGUUGCUACUAGUGGUCGAAAAUGUAUGAGCACAGAAUACAUCAAAUCAACUGAAGUUGAUAUACAUAUAUUUUCAAUACACUUAGUGUUGAACAAAUGAGAUGAAGAGAUACAAGUGUUCCUAUACAAGAACAUAUCCUAUACUUUCAUUACAUAAUUUUAAGAUGAUGUACAUUACAUUUACAAAUUAAAUAUCCAGUGCAUUCCAAAAGUAUUUAGAGCGCUUUACCUUUUCCACAUUUUGUUCAGUUACAGGCUUAUUCUGAAAAGUGGAUAAUCUAACUGUUGUAAUAUAUGAGGAAAACUGUUAAAUGUGUCUUUUUAGUGGGCCUAAAAGACGUUGAUAGUGGUGUUCUUAUUGAAUGGAGGUCCUUUGCACUUGACUCAUCGAGGGAACCCUAUGGGAGGGGGCUUGCUUAUCGGCUGUGCGCACGUUUUAAACUCUGCCUGAUUUCCAUAUACCAGCGUACCGAGGCAAUUAAAUCCAAUCACAAUUCACAUAACAGAUAACAAUAGUGAACCAAACUGUCCGUGAGGCUCAAACAAAGAGGUUGGUUCAAAAAGCAAAGAAUGAUAAAAUAAUUUCUUACGUAUAAAUAAACAUUCUUUGAAGCCUUAUAUUACGUGCUGUAUGUCUUGGUGAGAACUGAGAGUAAAAUUAUCAUAAUUAUUGUUUAAAUCCAAGUCCCUGUAUAUAUGAAAAGACAAGUUAAAUAAUGCUACAUUUUGACAUUGCUUUCUUUAAUUAAUGUACCAAGUAACGAAUUCAGUAGAAGUAGAACAAAAAGAGAGAACAAAAUUUGCUCACUGGCCUUUUUUUAAAAUCAGAAAUGAAUGUUCUUAUGAUUCCAAUUUACCGCAAUCACCUGGAAGCAGUUAGGGUUAUCUGUCUUGUAAAGGGACAGAACAACAGGGAUUUCACCGUGUUGGUUCUGGGAUUCAAAACAACAACUUUAUGUAUACUGGCCCAAGCUCUUGAACGCUAGGUUAUUCUUGGAUUCUUCCCUGUUGCCACCUUUUUAAUACAUGACUAUGGCUUCACAUCCGACAUAGAGCUAUGUAGCUUGGAUGGACUAUGAUUUGCAGUUGCAUUAAUGCCAUCUGAAAUUACAAUUAAGGUUGUUACUUAAAAAAAAUCAGCAGUACUCUUUUGACAUCAGCAGAGGGCAACAUUUGCCAACCUGAGAAAGACAGUGAGGUCAGUGCAAUGUCUUUGUUGGCUAACAGGCCUAAAGGAAACGUAAGGACCAACUCUCAGGCAUCGGUGUUUCAAGGGAAAAGGAAGGUGCUGAGAGUUUUGCUGAAAGACUGUAUCCUGAGAAACAUCUGUUUCCGGGUUCGGCCGACACUGCUAAGUGGUAUUCUCUGUGUUUCUUUGUCCAGUUAAGGAAAUGGUUGUAAAAAUAAGCAGUUUGUAGAUCUUGAACAUACACAGACACAUACUAAAUAUGCACUAAAACAUUUUGUCUGUUUUAGGGAAGCGUUGUGCUAGGUAAUACUCCAGAAUGGUUAUGGUUAGGUAACACUCCUGUAUGGUUAAGGGGCGUUAAUUAUGGACAAGAAAAAUCCACUGUGUCAUGAUUCAAACUCACAGGUAUUGGGGUCUGUGUCGCUAGCGUUUAUGACCACCAUCACUGACCACAACUCCUCAGCAAAACAUUAUUUACAGUGUGAUAUUGGAUCACCCAAUUUUCACACAAAUCAGAUCUCCCUGAAAUGCCGUUACUCCUUGUUAUGUGCAAAUUGUGUGUGAGUCUGUUGAAUUAUUAUGCCGUCCAUCAAAGAUGCUGAUCACCCAAGGAAUCACAUGCACACAUACACACAUUCACAUAAAUUCCCCUAAUGUCCACUGAUUUGUUCUUGAGCCAGGUUAUCAGGCCAUUUCAUCUGGGAAUUGUGUUGUGUUCUGAGAGGAACCACACACAGCGGCCAGCGUUGCUUAAAUGAUACUGCUGUUUGCUAUACAGAGGAAACAAUGGAAUGCAAGAAGAGAAAAAAAAAAUAGAGUGUCCACACAGGUCCGAAUGCCGCCACCCCACAUCCGGCUAUUGAUUUGGAACGAAAAGAAGAUUCCUCCACACAUCCUAUAUCUCUACUGGUCAGGUAGACUCCGGUGCUGGGUAUCCACAGGGAACAGUUGUAGGCCCCUCCCUCAUUUCCUAUCUUCAGGGAACUAGUCACAGUCCGCGCACCUCCAACCUCCUCUUGCUUAGUGUUGUUUUGGGCGUCCCCAGUCAGGUUGUUGGUUCCCUGGAACCAGUGUACAUCUCCGUCAGGGUAGACCCCAGUGAAGACGCAGGUGGGACCCAGGUCGUUGAAGCUGGCAAAGGCCUCCCUGUAGCACUCUGUAACCAAUCAGUUA
ensembl:lncRNA